AUUGAACGCUGGCGGCAGGCCUAACACAUGCAAGUCGAGCGGAUGAAGGGAGCUUGCUUCUGGAUGCAGCGGCGGACGGGCGAGUUAUGCCUAGGAAUCUGCCUGCUCGUGGCGGCUAACGUUCUGACACGGGCGCUCAUACCGCAUACGGCCUGAGGGAGAAAGGUGGGGAUCUUCGGACCUCACGCUAUCAGAUGACUCUAGGUCGGAGUAGCUAGUUGGUGGGGUAAAGGCCUACCAAGGCGACGAUCCGUAACUGGUCUGCGAGGAUGAUCAGUCACACUGGAACUGAGACACGGUCCAGACUCCUAAGGGAGGCAGCAGUGGGGAAUAUUGGACAAUGGGCGAAAGCCUGAUCCAGCCAUGCCGCGUGUGUGAAGAAGGUCUUCGGAUUGUAAAGCACUUUAAGUUGGGAGGAAGGGCAGUAAGUUAAUACCUUGCUGUUUUGACGUUACCAACAGAAUAAGCACCGGCUAACUUCGUG
rnacentral:rRNA from 1 species